GACGAACGCUGGCGGCGUGCUUAACACAUGCAAGUCGAACGGGAGGAAAAGAGAAGCUUGCUUCUUUUUGAAUCUAGUGGCAAACGGGUGAGUAACACGUAAACAACCUGCCUUCAGGAUGGGGACAACAGACGGAAACGACUGCUAAUACCGAAUGUGUUCCGGAGACCGCAUGAUUUCCGGAAGAAAGGAUGGCCUCUAUUUAUAAGCUAUCGCCUGAAGAGGGGUUUGCGUCUGAUUAGGCAGUUGGUGAGGUAACGGCCCACCAAACCUACGAUCAGUAGCCGGUCUGAGAGGAUGAACGGCCACACUGGAACUGAGACACGGUCCAGACUCCUACGGGAGGCAGCAGUGGGGAAUCUUCCGCAAUAGACGAAAGUCUGACGGAGCAACGCCGCGUGAGUGAUGACGGCCUCGGGUUGUAAAGCUCUGUGAUCGGGGACGAAUAGGCUGGUAUGCUAAUACCAUAUCAGAGUGACGGUACCCGAAUAGCAAGCCACGG
rnacentral:rRNA from 1 species